AUUUACUGUCAAGAGCAGCACAAAUAAAAUGUGUUUAUCAGUGAUGAGCUUCCACUUCAGGUCCGUGUUUUUGAAACUCUGUGAUAUUAACGAAGUUCUGAGUUUAACCAUCCAAAGACUCGUCAGUUUAUUCUUCAAAAUUUAGAACAUGAAUUUAAUCGUUUUUUUUUUUGUUUUUUUUUAACAGCCUGCCCAUGCACCGGAUGACCUGAGCAGGUUCCUGAAGAGUGAGGAGAUCCAGAAAGCCCUUCACACCCCCUCAACAAGGAGAUCAACCGCAGAGUGCUGAAGAAGAGUCCUCUGAAGAACUUGAGGAUAACGCCAAUGACUUGCACUAUGCCAUACUUUCUUGAGAUCAGUAAUAAAUCACUUCUUUCAAA